GACAGCAGGUAUUGUGGGGACCUG
rnacentral:piRNA from 1 species